rnacentral:rRNA from 1 species
AGAGUUCGAUCCUGGCUCAGGAUGAACGCUGGCGGCGCGCCUAACACAUGCAAGUCGAACGGCACCCACCUUCGGGUGGAAGCGAGUGGCGAACGGCUGAGUAACACGUGGAGAACCUGCCCCCUCCCCCGGGAUAGCCGCCCGAAAGGACGGGUAAUACCGGAUACCCCGGGGUGCCGCAUGGCACCCCGGCUAAAGCCCCGACGGGAGGGGAUGGCUCCGCGGCCCAUCAGGUAGACGGCGGGGUGACGGCCCACCGUGCCGACAACGGGUAGCCGGGUUGAGAGACCGACCGGCCAGAUUGGGACUGAGACACGGCCCAGACUCCUACGGGAGGCAGCAGUGGGGAAUCUUGCGCAAUGGGGGGAACCCUGACGCAGCGACGCCGCGUGCGGGACGGAGGCCUUCGGGUCGUAAACCGCUUUCAGCAGGGAAGAGUCAAGACUGUACCUGCAGAAGAAGCCCCGGCUAACUACGUGCCAGCAGCCGCGGUAAUACGUAGGGGGCGAGCGUUAUCCGGAUUCAUUGGGCGUAAAGCGCGCGUAGGCGGCCCGGCAGGCCGGGGGUCGAAGCGGGGGGCUCAACCCCCCGAAGCCCCCGGAACCUCCGCGGCUUGGGUCCGGUAGGGGAGGGUGGAACACCCGGUGUAGCGGUGGAAUGCGCAGAUAUCGGGUGGAACACCGGUGGCGAAGGCGGCCCUCUGGGCCGAGACCGACGCUGAGGCGCGAAAGCUGGGGGAGCGAACAGGAUUAGAUACCCUGGUAGUCCCAGCCGUAAACGAUGGACGCUAGGUGUGGGGGGACGAUCCCCCCGUGCCGCAGCCAACGCAUUAAGCGUCCCGCCUGGGGAGUACGGCCGCAAGGCUAAAACUCAAAGGAAUUGACGGGGGCCCGCACAAGCAGCGGAGCAUGUGGCUUAAUUCGAAGCAACGCGAAGAACCUUACCAGGGCUUGACAUAUGGGUGAAGCGGGGGAGACCCCGUGGCCGAGAGGAGCCCAUACAGGUGGUGCAUGGCUGUCGUCAGCUCGUGUCGUGAGAUGUUGGGUUAAGUCCCGCAACCCACGCGGGACCGCCGCCGUCAAGGCGGAGGAGGGCGGGGACGACGUCAAGUCAUCAUGCCCCUUAUGCCCUGGGCUGCACACGUGCUACAAUGGCCGGUACAGAGGGAUGCCACCCCGCGAGGGGGAGCGGAUCCCGGAAAGCCGGCCCCAGUUCGGAUUGGGGGCUGCAACCCGCCCCCAUGAAGUCGGAGUUGCUAGUAAUCGCGGAUCAGCAUGCCGCGGUGAAUGCGUUCCCGGGCCUUGUACACACCGCCCGUCACACCACCCGAGUCGUCUGCACCCGAAGUCGCCGGCCCAACCGAGAGGGGGGAGGCGCCGAAGGUGUGGAGGGUGAGGGGGGUGAAGUCGUAACAAGGUAGCCGUACCGGAAGGUGCGGCUG